AUAUGGGUGAUGUCCUUCAGCAUGCAAGGCUAUUCGACUUGAGAAUUAGCCCAGAGUUGGCCCAUUCACUCAAGUUGGUUCUACUCCAACACUCAGGGUGUUACAAUCCAUUAGUGACCACUGGGUUGGAGCAAUGUCCGUUAAAUGUCUUGCAUAGUGACACACACUAAGCAUUAAACUCAGUGGCACGAAAGUUCUCCGGUACAUAGCAGAAUAAGCUAGUGGAAAGUGUUAGAGGUUGUGGGUUAGUGGUUAGGGGUUAGUGCUGGUAAGCAAAUAAGGUGGAGGGAGGAUUCGUUACUUGCCCUCAACUUAGUAUACUAUAGUUAACAUACAAAAUAAAUAGAAAACUUUCACAAACUAAACAAA